rnacentral:misc_RNA from 1 species
GAUGAAGAACGUAGCGAAAUGCGAUAAGUAAUGUGAAUUGCAGAAUUCAGUGAAUCAUCGAAUCUUUGAACGCACAUUGCGCCCGCUGGUAUUCCGGCGGGCAUGCCUGUUCGAGCGUCAUUUCAACCCUCAAGCUCUCUGGAGUUUGGUGUUGGGGCGCCUGGGGCUUUUCGACCUCAGGGCCCUCAAGUCCAUCGGCGGGACCGCCAGGACACUGAGCGCAGUAGUAUUAUUUCGCUCGGUAGGAUCUUCCACGGCGGGUCGAUCUGGCCGCUAAACCCCCCAAUUCUCACCAAAGGUUGACCUCGGAUCAGGUAGGAAUACCCGCUGAACUUAAGCAUAUCAAUAAGCGGAGGA